GGAGCAGUAGCUCAGCGGAAGAGCAAUCCCCUCCUAAGGGAUAGGCCACGAGUUCGAAUCUCGUCUGGUUCA
rnacentral:tRNA from 1 species